rnacentral:rRNA from 1 species
CGUAGGGUGCGAGCGUUAAUCGGAAUUACUGGGCGUAAAGCGUGCGCAGGCGGUUUUGUAAGACAGAUGUGAAAUCCCCGGGCUCAACCUGGGACCUGCAUUUGUGACUGCAAGGCUAGAGUACGGUAGAGGGGGAUGGAAUUCCGCGUGUAGCAGUGAAAUGCGUAGAUAUGCGGAGGAACACCGAUGGCGAAGGCAAUCCCCUGGACCUGUACUGACGCUCAUGCACGAAAGCGUGGGGAGCAAACAGGAUUAGAUACCCUGGUAGUCCACGCCCUAAACGAUGUCAACUGGUUGCUGGGUCUUUACUGACUCAGUAACGAAGCUAACGCGUGAAGUUGACCGCCUGGGGAGUACGGCCGCAAGGUUG